rnacentral:rRNA from 1 species
AUUGAACGCUGGCGGCAUGCCUUACACAUGCAAGUCGAACGGUAACAGGUUAAGCUGACGAGUGGCGAACGGGUGAGUAAUGUAUCGGAACGUGCCCAGUCGUGGGGGAUAACUACUCGAAAGAGUGGCUAAUACCGCAUACCACCUGAGGGUGAAAGCGGGGGACCGUAAGGCCUCGCGCGAUUGGAGCGGCCGAUAGCAGAUUAGCUAGUUGGUGGGGUAAAAGCCCACCAAGGCGACGAUCUGUAGCUGGUCUGAGAGGACGACCAGCCACACUGGGACUGAGACACGGCCCAGACUCCUACGGGAGGCAGCAGUGGGGAAUUUUGGACAAUGGACGCAAGUCUGAUCCAGCCAUGCCGCGUGCGGGAAGAAGGCCUUCGGGUUGUAAACCGCUUUUGUCAGGGAAGAAACGAGUUUCUCUAAUACAGAGACUUAAUGACGGUACCUGAAGAAUAAGCACCGGCUAACUACGUGCCAGCAGCCGCAGUAACAC